rnacentral:tRNA from 1 species
GCCAACGUAGCACAAUGGUAGUGCGUUGCUUUCCUACUUAACAUUCCAUUGUUCCGGUCGAGUAAGCAGGCAGAGGCUGUGGGUUCGAGUCCCACCGUUGGUU